rnacentral:tmRNA from 1 species
GGGGGCGAAAUAGGAUCGACGUGCCUAAUAAAAAGAUUGCUUUUACU